rnacentral:lncRNA from 10 species
CUUUUAUUGCCUGCCUCUGCCACUAGAAUGGAGGCUCCAUGAGGUCAGGAGCCUGUUGUCUUCAUUGCUGUCCCCUCAAUCUUUAAAGCAGAGCUCGGUACUUAGUGGUUACUCACAUCAUAUUGACUAAUUAAACAAAUGAAUGUUCCCAGCUCCCACCAGCCCCUCCUACCUGUUAUGGUCAAUAUCAUGUCUUCUCUCCCUCAAGGCUCCCUUUUCACCUCCUCCUUUUCCUGGCAAAGCAAACACAACAAACAAAAAUCUGCAAGAUGCUGGGAGGCCAAGGCAGGUGGAUCACUUGAGGUCAGGAGUUCAAGACCAUUCUGGCCAACAUGGUGAAACCCUGUCUCUACUAAAAAUACAAAAAUUAGCCAGGUGUGGUGGUGCGCGCCUGUGAUCCCAGCUACUCGGGAGGCUGAG